GACGAACGCUGGCGGCGUGCUUAACACAUGCAAGUCGAACGGAAAGGCCCUGCUUGCAGGGUACUCGAGUGGCGAACGGGUGAGUAACACGUGGGUGAUCUGCCCUGCACUUCGGGAUAAGACUGGGAAACUGGGUCUAAUACCGGAUAGGAGCCAUUUUUAGUGUGAUGGUUGGAAAGUAUUUUCGGUGUAGGAUGAGCUCGCGGCCUAUCAGCUUGUUGGUUGGGUAAUGGCCUACCAAGGCGGCGACGGGUAGCCGGCCUGAGAGGGUGGACGGCCACAUUGGGACUGAGAUACGGCCCAGACUCCUACGGGAGGCAGCAGUGGGGAAUAUUGCACCAUGGGCGCAAGCCUGAUGCAGCGACGCCGCGUGGGGGAUGACGGGCUUCGGGUUGUAAACGCCUUUCGCUAGGGACGAAGCUUUUUGUGACGGUACCUAGAUAAGAAGCACCGGCUAACUACGUG
rnacentral:rRNA from 1 species